rnacentral:rRNA from 1 species
UACGGGAGGCAGCAGUGGGGAAUAUUGCACAAUGGGCGCAAGCCUGAUGCAGCCAUGCCGCGUGUAUGAAAAAGGCCUUCGGGUUGUAAAGUACUUUCAGUCGUGAGGAAGGUGUUAAGGUUAAUAACCUUAGCAAUUGACGUUAGCGACAGAAGAAGCACCGGCUAACUCCGUGCCAGCAGCCGCGGUAAUACGGAGGGUGCGAGCGUUAAUCGGAAUUACUGGGCGUAAAGGGCACGCAGGCGGUUAAUUAAGUUGGAUGUGAAAUCCCCGGGCUUAACCUGGGAAUGGCAUUCAAGCUAGUUAGCUAGAGUCUUGUAGAGGGGGUAGAAUUCCAUGUGUAGCGGUGAAAUGCGUAGAGAUGUGGAGGAAUACCGGUGGCGAAGGCGGCCCCUGGACAAAGACUGACGCUCAUGUGCGAAAGCGUGGGGAGCAAACAGGGAUUAGA